UACACGCAGUGGGAGCACAGGUUUACCUGUGUGACUGCGUACCUUUUGUAUAAUGGGUCAGCGACUUAUAUUCUGUAGCAAGGUUAACCGAAUAGGGGAGCCGGAGGGAAACCGAGUCUUAAUUGGGCGUUAAGUUGCAGGGUAUAGACCCGAAACCCGGUGAUCUAGCCAUGGGCAGGUUGAAGGUUGGGUAACACUAACUGGAGGACCGAACCGACUAAUGUUGAAAAAUUAGCGGAUGACCUGUGGCUGGGGGUGAAAGGCCAAUCAAACCGGGAGAUAGCUGGUUCUCCCCGAAAGCUAUUUAGGUAGCGCCUCGUGAAUUCAUCUCCGGGGGUAGAGCACUGUUUCGGCUAGGGGGCCAUCCCGGCUUACCAACCCGAUGCAAACUGCGAAUACCGGAGAAUGUUAUCACGGGAGACACACGGCGGGUGCUAACGUCCGUCGUGAAGAGGGAAACAACCCAGACCGCCAGCUAAGGUCCCAAAGUCAUGGUUAAGUGGGAAACGAUGUGGGAAGGCCCAGACAGCCAGGAUGUUGGCUUAGAAGCAGCCAUCAUUUAAAGAAAGCGUAAUAGCUCACUGGUCGAGUCGGCCUGCGCGGAAGAUGUAACGGGGCUAAACCAUGCACCGAAGCUGCGGCAGCGACACUGUGUGUUGUUGGGUAGGGGAGCGUUCUGUAAGCCUGCGAAGGUGGCCUGUGAGGGUUGCUGGAGGUAUCAGAAGUGCGAAUGCUGACAUAAGUAACGAUAAAGCGGGUGAAAAGCCCGCUCGCCGGAAGACCAAGGGUUCCUGUCCAACGUUAAUCGGGGCAGGGUGAGUCGACCCCUAAGGCGAGGCCGAAAGGCGUAGUCGAUGGGAAACGGGUUAAUAUUCCCGUACUUGGUGUUACUGCGAAGGGGGGACGGAGAAGGCUAUGUUGGCCGGGCGACGGUUGUCCCGGUUUAAGCGUGUAGGUGUGUGUUCCAGGUAAAUCCGGUUCACUUUAACACUGAGGCGUGACGACGAGGCACUACGGUGCUGAAGCAACAAAUGCCCUGCUUCCAGGAAAAGCCUCUAAGCAUCAGGUAACAUCAAAUCGUACCCCAAACCGACACAGGUGGUCAGGUAGAGAAUACCAAGGCGCUUGAGAGAACUCGGGUGAAGGAACUAGGCAAAAUGGUGCCGUAACUUCGGGAGAAGGCACGCUGACACGUAGGUGAAGUGAUUUACUCAUGGAGCUGAAGUCAGUCGAAGAUACCAGCUGGCUGCAACUGUUUAUUAAAAACACAGCACUGUGCAAACACGAAAGUGGACGUAUACGGUGUGACGCCUGCCCGGUGCCGGAAGGUUAAUUGAUGGGGUCAGCGCAAGCGAAGCUCCUGAUCGAAGCCCCGGUAAACGGCGGCCGUAACUAUAACGGUCCUAAGGUAGCGAAAUUCCUUGUCGGGUAAGUUCCGACCUGCACGAAUGGCGUAAUGAUGGCCAGGCUGUCUCCACCCGAGACUCAGUGAAAUUGAACUCGCUGUGAAGAUGCAGUGUACCCGCGGCAAGACGGAAAGACCCCGUGAACCUUUACUAUAGCUUGACACUGAACAUUGAGCCUUGAUGUGUAGGAUAGGUGGGAGGCUUUGAAGUGUGGACGCCAGUCUGCAUGGAGCCGACCUUGAAAUACCACCCUUUAAUGUUUGAUGUUCUAACGUGGACCCGUUACCCGGGUUGCGGACAGUGUCUGGUGGGUAGUUUGACUGGGGCGGUCUCCUCCUAAAGAGUAACGGAGGAGCACGAAGGUUGGCUAAUCCUGGUCGGACAUCAGGAGGUUAGUGCAAUGGCAUAAGCCAGCUUGACUGCGAGCGUGACGGCGCGAGCAGGUGCGAAAGCAGGUCAUAGUGAUCCGGUGGUUCUGAAUGGAAGGGCCAUCGCUCAACGGAUAAAAGGUACUCCGGGGAUAACAGGCUGAUACCGCCCAAGAGUUCAUAUCGACGGCGGUGUUUGGCACCUCGAUGUCGGCUCAUCACAUCCUGGGGCUGAAGUAGGUCCCAAGGGUAUGGCUGUUCGCCAUUUAAAGUGGUACGCGAGCUGGGUUUAGAACGUCGUGAGACAGUUCGGUCCCUAUCUGCCGUGGGCGCUGGAGAACUGAGGGGGGCUGCUCCUAGUACGAGAGGACCGGAGUGGACGCAUCACUGGUGUUCGGGUUGUCAUGCCAAUGGCACUGCCCGGUAGCUAAAUGCGGAAGAGAUAAGUGCUGAAAGCAUCUAAGCACGAAACUUGCCCCGAGAUGAGUUCUCCCUGAGACUUAGAGUCUCCUGAAGGAACGUUGAAGACGACGACGUUGAUAGGCCGGGUGUGUAAGCGCAGCGAUGCGUUGAGCUAACCGGUACUAAUGAACCGUGAGGCUUAACCUUACAACGCCGAAG
rnacentral:rRNA from 1 species